rnacentral:rRNA from 1 species
ACUACGGGUGGCAGCAGUGAGGAAUAUUGGUCAAUGGGCGCGAGCCUGAACCAGCCAAGUCGCGUGAGGGAAGACGGUCCUAUGGAUUGAAAACCUCUUUUGUCGGGGAGCAAAAGACGCCACGUGUGGCGUUCCGAGAGUACCCGAAGAAAAAGCAUCGGCUAACUCCGUGCCAGCAGCCGCGGUAAUAAGGAGGAUGCGAGCGUUAUCCGGAUUUAUUGGGUUUAAAGGGUGCGCAGGCGGAAGAUCAAGUCAGCGGUAAAAUUGAGAGGCUCAACCUCUUCGAGCCGUUGAAACUGGUUUUCUUGAGUGAGCGAGAAGUAUGCGGAAUGCGUGGUGUAGCGGUGAAAUGCAUAGAUAUCACGCAGAACUCCGAUUGCGAAGGCAGCAUACCGGCGCUCAACUGACGCUCAUGCACGAAAGUGUGGGUAUCGAACAGGAUUAGAUACCCUGGUAGUC